rnacentral:rRNA from 1 species
AUUGAACGCUGGCGGCAGGCCUAACACAUGCAAGUCGAGCGGAUGAAGGGAGCUUGCUCCUGGAUUCAGCGGCGGACGGGUGAGUAAUGCCUAGGAAUCUGCCUGGUAGUGGGGGAUAACGUCCGGAAACGGGCGCUAAUACCGCAUACGUCCUGAGGGAGAAAGUGGGGGAUCUUCGGACCUCACGCUAUCAGAUGAGCCUAGGUCGGAUUAGCUAGUUGGUGGGGUAAAGGCCUACCAAGGCGACGAUCCGUAACUGGUCUGAGAGGAUGAUCAGUCACACUGGAACUGAGACACGGUCCAGACUCCUACGGGAGGAAGCAGUGGGGAAUAUUGGACAAUGGGCGAAAGCCUGAUCCAGCCAUGCCGCGUGUGUGAAGAAGGUCUUCGGAUUGUAAAGCACUUUAAGUUGGGAGGAAGGGCAGUAAGUUAAUACCUUGCUGUUUUGACGUUACCAACAGAAUAAGCACCGGCCAACUUCGUG